ACCUUCAAGGACUAAUCUGUGGGUUUUUAAUUCUCUCUUAAAUUUCAGGGGCUCCAGUGGAAUUACUUGUCAGCUCCGGGAAGGGAAGGAGAGGAGGGAGAGAACAUGAAUCAUGUAACCAUGGAAAAAUAUUUUAAAGUAAAUACAUUUUAAAAUAAAUAAGUUUCAGGGACUACCUAGCAUAUAUGCCUUUGCACCCACCUAGUUGGUGCUCAGCAAAUCUUUUGUCCAAUUGAUUAUGGAUCCUACAAAAUCUCUGGGAAGGGUUAGUCAGAACACAGAUGAAACAGGCAUUAAAUAAUAAGCAAGUUAUUGUAUUAACAUAAGAGUUUUGAUUAUAGUUUCCUAAGUAAAGGCUUCUCUUGAAGGAUAGAAGAAUCAAUCUGUAUUCAAGUUCAGGUCUUCUAGUUUCAAAUUCAGUAUUCUUUUUUUUGUAUACUUCACUGCCUCUGAUUAUAUUUACAACUCCUUUUCACGUAAUAUCUAUGCUUCUAUUUCCCUUUUAAUUGCAUACUACCAUAUUGCUUUCAAGGGCAGCUAGGUGGCACCAUGGAUAGAGUACUAGGCCUGGAAUCAGGAAGAUCUGAGUUCAAAUCCAGCCUCAGAUACUUCAUAGGUGUGUGUCUCUGGGCAAGUCACUUAAUCCUGUUUGUGUUAGUUUCCUCAUCUGUAAAAAGUCUGAAGAAGGAAAGGGGGAACCAUUCCAGUAUCUUUGCCAAGAAAACCCCAAAUGGGUUCAUGAAGUGUUGGAUGGGAUUAGACAACAUUGCUUUCUAUUAUCAUGUAAAUAUUUCUUGAAUAUGUGUGAUCAUACCAAAGAGAUAAGCUUUCAGGGAACAGGAAUAUUGUGUGAUGUUCCUUUUCUAUCAAUACAUCCUGUUCUCCACAAUCCUAGACAUAGGUCCAUGCAGUUAGUCUAUAAGCAUUUAUUAAGCUAAUUAUAUUAUACUUUAUUAAACUUAUAUAUCAUAUUAUUAAGCUUAUAUUAUACAUUAUGUUUAUUAAGCUUAAUAAAUAAGAAAUAACAAAAGUUAACUUUGGAAAAACAUGGAAAGACCUUUAUGAAAUUAUAAACAAUGAAACAAGCAGAAUCAAGGGAGUGUAAUAUAUAGCAUGUUGCUUGAAGAAUGAUUUGUGUAUUUCCACCUCCAGAGAAAAAACUAAUGAAUUAGAAAUAAGUAAGACAUAGUUUUAUAUAUGUGUUCUAAGAGCUGGGGAUACAAAGAAAGAUUUUUUAAAAAGCCCUGUUUUUGAGGUGCUCACAAUCUAAUUGACACAACAAAAACAAUUAUGUACAAUAAAGUAUAUCCCAGACAAAUUGGAGAUAAUCAUCAGGGGAACAGCACUAACAUUCAAAAGGAUCAGGAAGGACUUCCUGCACAAAGUAGGGUUUUAGCUGGGAUUCAAAGGAAGACAGGGGAGGUAGGUAUCUUUACGGACACUUCUGAGAUAAAUAUUUGUCUUGUAAGUCAGUAAAGGUUUUCCCUCAAGUUUUCCCUAUAUUACAACUUCCCCUUUCUCUGAUUUCAACCUCUUCUACAGAGCACCUCUUUGGUUUGGUUCUUCCUUAAUUUUUCUGUCCCAGCUUCUUGCUUAAGAGCCAAUGUUAUUCAAUGAUUCAAUAUUUAUUAAGUACCUUAUUUAUGCAAAAGAGAGCUAGUUGGUCUUGGAUAGAGCCCCAGCUCUGGAGUCAGGAAGACUUGAAUCUUCAAGUCCAGCAAACGCUGGAACCUGCUUGUCUUAGCUUCCUCAUCUGGAAAUGUCAAGCCACUUCAGUUUCUUUGCUAUGAAAACUCCAAAUGGGGUCACAAUUGAAAAAAAUGAAUAACAAAAAUAUAUGGAAGGCAUAUGUGUCCAACAUUGUAGAUACAAUGAAUGAGUGAAAAAACAUUUAUUAGGUGUUUACUAUGUGCCUUGCAAGCCCUGUGGUAAAACCUAAGCAUAAAAAUAAAUUUAUUAUUAUUAUUAUAGAAUAAAUAAGGAAAAUUAAAAAUAAAAAUAUUUCUUGCGCUCAAGGAGCUCAUAUUCUAGUGGAGAAAUAUAACAUAUUAAGAAGUUGAAGACCAGAUAGGUACACUUUGAUUCAGAAAGUUACUUAGAUGGUGAGUAAGGGAAAGAAAUUUGACACAUAAGGAUUUGGCAUACAUAACACAAGAAAAUGGGAGAAAUAGACUGACACAGCCCAUGUAGGAAAAAUGGCAGAAUUGAUUUGACCACAUGAUUCAAGAUUCUAGAACUGGAAAGGAGAGGGAAGAGUAAUGAGGCUAUGGAGGAACUGGCAGGAGAGGAGGGAGUGAAGUAAAUUAUAGCUAGAGCUUUCCUGAAAUAGUCACUGAUCAGAAAAGGAAGGAGAACCACUGGGGAGAAUGUCUUCUGGGCCAGGUGUUCUUAACCUUUUUGGUGUCAUGGACCCCUUUGUCAGUCUUGUGAAACCUAUAGACCCUGAAUUAUAAUAUUUUGUUGCCUGUAUUAAUAAUUUGAGAAAAUGUUAUAUUUCAUCUAGAAGUUAAUGAAAAUAAAGAUCCCCCCCCCCCCAGUUAAUAUGUAAAUCCUGUUAAAUCUAUGUACAUACAUCCUAGGCUAAGAACUUCUUGCCUCUUUGGUGAACCUUUUCCAAGUUCUAGUGCCCAGAGGGCAAAUUCAAACUGUCUGUGAGCCUCUUGAUUACCAGAGAGUUGAGGGAGAAAGUGCUUGCUUUGGGCUGCUGUACAGAGAGGUGGGGCAUGCCAAAAAUGUCCUCAGGCAUUGGGAAGAGGAGGACCAGAGCAGCUCCCCAAGUGCCAGCUCUGCAUGUGUGCCAGAUCUUCUCCAGCACUGGUCUAGGGCAUCUUGGUGUGGGCAAGAAAUGAUGAUCCAGUUGGUUAUGGAAGAGAUGACUUUCCAGAGAUUCAAGGUCACAAAAACAAAACAAAACAAUUUCUACUUUUUAAAAAAAACCUUUACUUUAUGUCUUAGAAUCAACUUUAAGCAUCAUUUCCAAGAUAGAUGAGUGGUAAGAGCUAGGCAAUUGAAGUUAAGUGACUUGCCCAGGGUCACACAGCUAGAAAGUAUCUGAGGCCAGAUUUGAAACCAGGACCCAUUUCCAGGCCUGGCAUCCUAUCCAUUGAGUUACACAGUUACCCCUAACAAUUCCUAUAUUUAAGGAGAAGCUUAUAUUCUAGCAAAAGGGUAUAACAAAUAUAUAGAUAAAGAAAUAUAAAUUAAGAGCAAUGUUAUAUUAGGUAAGGAGAGAGGAGAUAUCAUUUAUACUUUACUGUAAAUAAGCUUAAGCAAAAUACCAUCUUUUCAGCUGUGCUGGCAUUUUAAGACUUUUUUCUAGUUAUGAAAUCAAAAGCUUUGUUCCAUGUUAAAACAAUAUGGGACAUGUUGAUUGAUUGACUGAUUGAUAAGGAAAUGUAAGCCUGAUCCUUUCCCUGUUGUCCCUGAAAUCACAACUUAACAGACAAACAUAUCACCUGCCCUGCCUGAUGCAAGGCCUCUUUGGUCUUGACAUAUUGGAAUUAUGUCCCUAUUCAUCCACAGUGAAUGUCCAAACACAGCUGAUGCACAAUUCUUAUGAGGGUCUGACCUCAUAGUCAGUUUCCCACUCCAACAACUAAAUUGAAUUGAAUCAGAUGUACUCACCCAGAAGUCCUCUCUACAUGAGGUCAUUCCUUUUCUAUGAGGCCAAUUUAGGUAGAUCUGAACAAUUUCAGAUGAUCAACAACAAUGGGGCAUUUGUAGGGUGACCCGUGGAGGUGUUGUACAUUCUGCAUUUUUUUUAAAGGCCCAGAAUAAAGUACAAGCAGCAGCCAUGGUUGAUAGCCCUCAGAAAUUCCGCCCAGUGUCCUGACUGACAUCAGAAGGAUUUAUGUGGUCAGCUUCAUGGAGGCAUCUGAUUAUGAAACAAACCUUUGAAAGACUUCAAAAGCAAAAAUAUCCCUAGGGUGUUUUUGUUCUUAAGAGCCACAAGAAGAGAAAAGGACAGUACAAUACAUAGGCAGCCCACAUCUGAACAGUAGGCGAGAGGCUAAGAACAGUGCCCAUGCAGCCUGCUCCAAAACUAUAGCAUGAGAAAGAGCCAGUACUAUAGAUAUAAACUUUUAGAGAGAAUAAAUUUUCCCCUAAGUACUGCUUUGGCUACAUCCUACAAAUUUUGCUGAAUCAUAAAAGAUUCUGUUUCAACCCCUUAUUUUAACUCUGGG